GACGAACGCUGGCGGCGUGCCUAAUACAUGCAAGUAGAACGCUGAAGGAGGAGCUUGCUCUUUCUGGAUGAGUUGCGAACGGGUGAGUAACGCGUAGGUAACCUGCCUGGUAGCGGGGGAUAACUAUUGGAAACGAUAGCUAAUACCGCAUAACAGUAGAUAUCGCAUGAUAUUUGCUUGAAAGGUGCAAUUGCACCACUACCAGAUGGACCUGCGUUGUAUUAGCUAGUUGGUGAGGUAACGGCUCACCAAGGCAACGAUACAUAGCCGACCUGAGAGGGUGAUCGGCCACACUGGGACUGAGACACGGCCCAGACUCCUACGGGAGGCAGCAGUAGGGAAUCUUCGGCAAUGGACGGAAGUCUGACCGAGCAACGCCGCGUGAGUGAAGAAGGUUUUCGGAUCGUAAAGCUCUGUUGUAAGAGAAGAACGAGUGUGAGAGUGGAAAGUUCACACUGUGACGGUAUCUUACCAGAAAG
rnacentral:rRNA from 1 species